GGUUUUAAAUUUAAAAGAAUAAAUUCUUAUAAUAAAACUAAAAGGACGCGGUAACCUUGACCGUGAUAAUGUAGCAUAAUCACUCGCCAUUUAAUUGAUGGAUAGUAUGAAUGGUUGAACGAAUAUUUCACUGUCUUAAAAAGAAUCAAAUAAAAUUAAAAUAAUAGUUAAGAUGCUAUUUUAAAUUGUAAGACGAAAAGACCCUAUAGAGCUUAACUAUAAUCUUCUUAUAGCAAAAAGAAAACAAUAUUUUCAACCUUAAGAAGACUGGUAGUUUAGUUGGGGCGACUACCUUCUAUUUUAAACGAAGGUAAGCAAAGUUAAUAAAAAACUUAUUAUAUAAAAAAAAUAUUUAAUAAUUACAAAAGUAGGCUAUAAUGACCCGUUAACAUUACAUAAAAGAGUUAACGAUCAAUUAAUAAAAGCUACCUUAGGGAUAACAGGAUAAUUUCAUUUUAGAGUUCCUAUCGAAAAUGAAGUUUGUCACCUCUAUGUUGAAUUAA
rnacentral:rRNA from 1 species